AUACCCCUCAUGUUCUCCUCUGCACCCCAUUGUAAUCUGAAGAGUGACUCAACAAUACCCCUCUCUCUAUCGAGCUAUACAAACUCGUCCUGUAUUGUUCCUCUUUUCAAAGAGUGUCUGGGUACACUUCAUGCCAACUACCACCCAAAAAAAAAGACUGAAUAGACUUUAAGCUUUUUAUUCGCGUGAAGGUGAAGAAAAGUGAAUUAUAAAUUCAUUGGCGAGGAACCAUGGUCUAGUGUGGUUUGAGUGGAACUAGGGUUCACUUUGUGAGAAUCAAGCCAUUUUACAUCUAUGGAUAAUACUGGAGUUCACUUUCAAGAAAUCCUUUGAAGGUAAAUUCAAAGUGGAGUACUUAUUAAGAAUCUGAUGUUACCUGGCCAGCUAGGUGAGGAUUUAACAAGGAGUUGCCAACUUUCAUUGAAAAAGCUGUUGGAGCGUCCUCCCUUGAAGGUUAGUCACGACACUUGCACAUGUUUGAUUGUGGAGGAAUCCGGAUAACAACCGUAGGAGAACAAGCAUGAGAGUUUUGGGGGGCAACGCGAUCUAGGUACAUCUAGCUAGCUAGAUUGGUUGAGUCACUCGGCAGUUGAGAAGCUUUCCCUUGGUGCACAUUCAUCUCUGGGCGAUAUAAACCAUCAAACUUUGGGGUCAGACAACAAACCGUAACACACGUUUUCACAGACGAAUCACCAGAACUUUUUGACAUUGCAAUUUGCAUGCUAUAUAGUACUGACCUAUGCAUGCAUUCUAUUCUGCCUGCCAAACGGUGAUCUACAAUUAGCCAUUCAUGAACUUGUGCAUCAGCUGUUUUAAGAAACUUUGCUAAACUGACCUAAAGCACCCAAAGAACAAGGAUUAUAUAUCUAUUGCAUGAUCUGUGAUUAUUUUACAAUGAGGAUAUGAUAUGAUUUAUACCAGUUUAUUGGAUGGAAUAGUGACACAGACAUCUGGAAACAUGUCCGGUAAG